rnacentral:sRNA from 1 species
GGUUCGGUCCCCAGCUCCGAAAAAAAAAAGAACCAAAAAAAAAAGGUUCCUCAAACCUGUUAAUUUUCCUGGUAUUGAGCCAGGUAAGGCACCUAUUCUAGAGCUGAAAAAAGUGGCUUGUCUUGAAUUUCAUCUUGAAUAUAAACACUGUUGUUUAUAUUAUUUAUCUUCUGGGCAAUUUAUAGGUAAAUUUGGUAACUGAUGGAACCUGCCUCCUGUGUGAACGUGGACCCUGCUGUGUUCUGAGUUGGAGGAAUUUACACUGACUGAUGACUGGGGUCCCAAAGAGAGGAAGACAUCGGUGGUGACAGAGGCAGAUGGGCUUCCAGUUCCUUCCGCUGCUCAUGUGUGGAUCGUGUGUGGAUUGCUGCUGGGAAGGAGUGAGCCUUUCUGCCCGAUCUGCUUCUAUUUUUUUCAAAGAGGAUCAUUCUACUUCCACAGUGGUGAUGGGGCAGGCCUAAAACUGCACUGGUUUAAAAAAAAUCUGAGGGGCUGGAGAGAUGGCUCAGUGGUUAAGAGCACCAACCCACUC